GGGGGCUUUCGGCUCAUCAGAAGCCACCAGCCCUUGAGACAAAACCUCCCAGACGCUGUGGGUCAGACCCACAGAGCCUCAGUCCUACCUGGUCCUGGGAGGGCGGAGGGCGGUGUGGGCCUGGUCCCAGGACGGCGGAGGGCAGUGUGGGCCAGGCGCGGACUCCCCCGGGCGCCCUCAUGGUCUUAUCUCUGCCCGGCCGGCGGAAGGCGGCGGGAACCUUUGCCUGGUACAACCACUACUGCUCCACAGCCCAGGAAUUUGGCAUUGAAUAAUUUUUAACUUCUGCUCUGAGAGAGGAGCUGGCCUUGGAUUUAGUGUCCGUGCAUGCAGGAAUGCCGGGGCUCCAUUUUCAAGGGACGGCGAGAAGGACACGCUCGGUUCCGCACUCUCAGGCUCCUGCUCCUCACAAGGCAAGCGCCUCCAGGGAGCUGCAUUUGGGAAAAUAUCCACCAAGCACUAAAGAAACACAACCAUAAAGAACCAUAAAGCAUCCACGCGGAAAAGCUUAUUCAGAUCAAUAAAGCUGCGGCGGGCCGGGCACAGUGGCUCACACCUGUCAUCCCAGCACUUUGGGAGGCCGAUGUGGGUGGAUCACGAGAUCAGGAGAUGGAGACCAGCCUGGCCAACAUGGUGAAACCCCGUCUCUACUAAAAUACAACAAAUUAGCUGGGCGUGGUGGCACGUGCCUGUAGUCCCAGCUACUCAGGAGGCUGAGGCAGAAGAAUUGCUUGAACCCAGGAGGCGUAGCUUGCAGUGAGCAGAGAUUGCACCACUGCACUCCAGCCUGGGUGACAGAGCGAGACUCCGUCUCAAAAAACAAAUAAAUACAUAAAAUAAAAGUAAUAAUAAUAAAAAAACUGCAGCGAGGGCCCAGCGUGCCCACCACUCAUCAACAAGUCAAAGCGCGAACCCUGUGGGUGCAGCAGCCGGACCUCGGGUGUGCUGGCUUUCCGACACCCAAACCAGCAAACCUCACACCCGCUGCUCGCGGAGGGCCGCUGAAGCCG
rnacentral:lncRNA from 10 species